GACGAACGCGGGCGGCGUGCUUAACACAUGCAAGUCGAACGAAGUGGCGAACGGGGGAGUAAUACGUGGGUAACCUGCCCUCAUUUUUGGGAUAAGCCUUGGAAACGGGGUCUAAUAGCGAAUAAAGGGGGAUGGGCUCGCGGCCUAUCAGCUUGGUGGUGGGGUGAUGGCCUACCAAGGCGGUGACGGGUAGCCGGCCUGAGAGGGUGACCGGCCACAUUGGGACUGCGAUACGGCCCAGCCUCCUACGGGAGGCCGCAGUGGGGGGUCUUGCACAAUUGGCGACAGCCUGAUGCAGCGCUGCCGCGUGGGGGCUGGAGGCUUUCGGGUUGUAAACCUCUUUCGCUCUCGACCGGGUAGGUGGAGCAGACGCGCCGGCUAACUACGUGCCCGCAGCCGCGGUAAUAC
rnacentral:rRNA from 1 species